GACGAACGCUGGCGGCGUGCUUAACACAUGCAAGUCGAACGCACAGGCCCUGCUUUUGUGGGGUGCUCGAGUGGCGAACGGGUGAGUAACACGUGAGUAACAUGCCCUUGACUUUGGGAUAACUUCAGGAAACUGGGGCUAAUACCGGAUAGGAGCUCCUGCUGCAUGGUGGGGGCUGGAAAGUUUCGGCGUUUGGGGAUGGCCUCGCGGCAUAUCAGCUUGUAGGGGGGGUAGUGGCUUAGCAAGGCUAGGACGGGUAGCGGGCCUGGUAGGGUGACCGGAUACGCUAGAAUUGGACUAAGACACGGACUCGUACCGGACGCGAGGGAGCAGUGGAUAGUACAAGGGGAUGAAGCCUAGUGUGACAACGCCACGCGGGGGGUGUCAGGCUUCGGGUUGUAUUGCGAAUUCGCCUGUGACGGAAAGAGAGUGACGGUAAUGGGUAAAGAAGCACCGGCUAACUACGUG
rnacentral:rRNA from 1 species